rfam:Myotis davidii contig176094, whole genome shotgun sequence.
GGCAAUUCUCAAGUGAUGUACGCCAGAAUUGGGUUCCCUCCUCUCUGGUUCCCAGUGCAUCUCACCUGAGAACCGCA